CCGCCCUGCGCCCCACCCUUCUUGAAUCAGGAAAAUGUGUUGGAUUAGUUCCGUGCUGCGCGGGACACCCUGGACUCCCUCAAUGAAGAGAAUUGGAUUGGACCUGGACUUCCUGGACCCGAAUGGUCACAGCUAUAAAAGAACCUUGUUGUUGGCGGGGAGUGCACAGACACGAUCUGACUCACCUCUCGUAACUCAGCAACAGCACGACCAUCAGAAUGAGUAUGACAGGAGCCAAAACGUACACAAUUAUCACAAACAUGGAACCACUGACUUGGUCACAUUCUGUGAUACAGAGAAAAAGAGAUCACAGGAUCACUCCAGUCACUCCAGUCAGAAGCCCCGCACGUUUCAUCCAAUCUGCUUCUCACCUGAAGCUCAUACCGGGAACAAUUGGAUGGCCAGUUGAUGCAGUAAUUUUUCUUCCCAGAAUAGACUUUGUAUGUCUGCGGAAAGUCCAAUGUAUUUCAAAUGGAAAGUUGGCUCGUCCCUGUUUAUUUCCCUGAGGUGGUGCAAAAGGGAGUUCAGCAAGGAGGCAUGCACAUGUAAUCCAGUCAUCAGCUCCCAGUCAUUAGCUCUACGGCCACAUCAGGAAGGCGCCAGAUCGUUUCUUUGUCUUUGUUGUGCUGCAUUCUGUCUUGCACUCAUAUUAGAUUUCUGCUCCUCGUUGGUUUUCUGUGCUCUUUGUUUCUCCCAGUAAGUUCAGGCAUUUUCCUCCUACUACUCCUUGCUCUGCUUCUUCUUAGUUUAGUCACUGCUUGUUCCAACUUUUGUAUUUUUUUUUCUCUGCUAUUUCUCCCUACUUGUUAGUAGUGCUUCAUUAAUUAGUAUGUUCUUGUAUACUUUUAUAUACUAUUUUUUUUCUACUCAUCUGUAGCACUUUUUUAGUCUUUUCAUUUAUACUUUGUAUAUGACAAUUUUAUCAACUCAAUAGUAGCGCUUUAUGUUACCAAUUUUUUCUGACUUUGUACUUCAUUAGAAUAAAGACUAUUUAUUUUUACUGCUUCAA